rnacentral:lncRNA from 1 species
AAGUGUGGAAGAGGGGGUCUAGUGGUGAGGCCAUUAGCUGGCUCUCACUCUCUUCUGUUAGGGGAGAUAUGCAGGAACCCUUAACUCCAAGAGGCAGAAGAGCCUGGGUGGAGGUGAGAGGAAGGGGGAUCAGAGGGAGAGGAAGCAGGAAGGUUACUGCUAAGUUCUGACUCAAGGGAAGCAGUUUCAGGCAGAGUUAAGGAAGUCAAAGGUUUCUUUCUAGGUAGAGAAGCCCAGUUCAUCAGCCUAUGAAAGAACACUGGAAUUUAGAACACAAACUCUAGGGUGUAAUGAUUGUACACUGGUUAGUGUUACUUAGUACUGUAUUUCUAAGGAAACCAAGCUUGCUGAUGGGACAGAAGAGGGAGACAAUUUUCAAUGUCAUUUUCCUCUAACUGUAUGGUCUCUCUCACAGGUAUACAAGGACCCCAGAACCUUAACACAAUUCUGAGGUGGAAGAAAUGGGGAACACCAGGCCUGGCCUCAUGGAGACCGGGGAGUCAGAACCUGAGCUCUGGCUCCUGGAGCUGCUGCGAGUGAGUGGUGGAAACCUGCCCCCUUAGAGAAGCUGCAGCUGAUCAGCAUCAUGCAAGGGACUGCUGAGAUGGUAGCAUGCUGGUAAUGAAGUGUUAUGGAGCCACUCCAUCCUUUAUUCAUCCUUUUCCUCAUACACACAGAGAGCAAAGCACAGGAACCAGCUACAGAAUUUGCAAGUGGAGAAUCCAGUGGGUGGGCCUUCUCCAAUCAGGCCUUAAGAGCAAAGACCAUGGUUUCUCAAAGAAAGAAUUUUCCUCAAGACUGCAACAUAGAGACCUUGCCUGAGUUUCCAGCCUGAUACCCUGAAGAAUUUGGACUCAAGACUGCAAUAUCAGCUCUUUCCUGAAUUUCUAGCCUGCUGGCCUGCCCUACAGAUUUUAGAUCUCCCAGCCCAAUUGCAUGAGCUAAUUCCUUAAAAUAAAUAAAUCUCUGUGUGUGU